AUGCCUGAUAGCGAGUUCCAUCUGCGUAUGCGGUCACUGCUCGAGCUGACGCAGACGGGAACCGUGGCUGAGUACACGACGUUAUUCUGGGAGCAUCUACACCAUGUGUUGCAUCUCAACUCCAGCCUAAGCAUCAAGUCCUUCAUCCAUCAGUACAUCGAGGGCUUGCGCAAGGAUAUUCAAGCAGACGUGCAGUCGCAGUCGCCGUCUAGCAUCACCAGAGCCUCGUGCCUUGCUCGGAUAAGGGAAGAAGAGAUCAUGAAGGAUGAGGCGACGAGUGCCACGGAGGGUGGCGAUAGCUAUGGCUAUGGAGAACAAGACUCCGGCGUUGAUGCCAACAAGCUUGCUACUCUGAAACCGACCAUGUGCUCGAUGGAGUGCCCGAGUCGUGACGCCACCGUCAACAUCUUCCCCGAGCUUGCAUCCCCUGCCGGGCAUGACGAGGCCCUCGACAUCGACAUCGACACCGUCCACGUCGCUGGACCAAUGCCCGCCAUCUUCUCGAUGGGUGACCUGGCCCAUGGUAGUGAUGACGAUGGCCCUAUGUCAGUAUCCAUGGUCCUAUGGACUACACCAGCCCCACCACAGCGACCGGUACCUAACCUUGAGCUUAUCACGAUGACGCCCACCAGUUGUUUGUUCAAAAGCUCUGUCAAGUGUGCCUAUGUGUUGACGCCCGGGCCCAUGUCGGGUCUGACAAUGGGUCUGAAGGCACAAGGACGGGGGAUUCGGCCAGCACCAUGGCCUUCAUUCUUACAAACAUGCUGA
rnacentral:rRNA from 1 species